rnacentral:rRNA from 1 species
UGCGCAGGCGGCCAUGUGUGUCAGGUGUGAAAGCCCGAGGCUCAACCUCGGAAUUGCGCCUGAAACUACAUGGCUAGAGUACUGGAGAGGGUAGCGGAAUUCAUGGUGUAGCAGUGAAAUGCGUAGAUAUCAUGAGGAACACCAGAGGCGAAGGCGGCUACCUGGACAGUUACUGACGCUCAGGCACGAAAGCGUGGGGAGCAAAAGGGAUUAGAUACCCCUGUAGUCCACGCCCUAAACGGUGCACACUAGGUCUUGGCGGAUUCGACCCCACCAGGGCCCAAGCUAACGCGUUAAGUGUGCCGCCUGAGGACUACGGCCGCAAGGCUAAA